rnacentral:rRNA from 1 species
CAAGUCGAACGAAAGUUUUUAACUUUAGUGGCGAACGGGUGAGUAAUACGUGAGAAUUUGCCCUUAGGAGAAGAAUAACUGCUGGAAACGGUUGCUAAAUCUUCAUAUGUCGAGAGAUGAAAUAGCUUAAGCUGCCUAAGGAUGAGCUCACGCCUGAUUAGCUUGUUGGUGAGGUAAUGGCUCACCAAGGCCACGAUCAGUAGCUGGUUUGAGAGAACGACCAGCCACACUGGGACUGAGACACGGCCCAGACUCCUCCGGGAGGCAGCAGUGAGGAAUUUUCCGCAAUGGGCGAAAGCCUGACGGAGCAAUACCGCGUGAGGGAUGAAGGAUUUUGGUCUGUAAACCUCUUUUCUCAAGAAAGAAGUUCUGACGGUACUUGAGGAAUAAGCAUCGGCUAACUCCGUGCCAGCAGCCGCGGUAAUACGGGGGAUGCAAGCGUUAUCCGGAAUGAUUGGGCGUAAAGCGCCUGUAGGUUGUUUAUUGAGUCCGUUGUUAAAGCCUAGGGCUCAACCCUAGAAAAGCAAUGGAAACUAGUAGACUAGAGUAUGGCAGGGGUAGAGGGAAUUUCUAGUGUAGUGGUGAAAUGCGUAGAUAUUAGAAAGAACACCGGUGGCGAAAGCGCUCUACUGGACCAUUACUGACACUCAGAGGCGAAAGCUAGGGUAGCAAAAGGGAUUAGAUACCCCUGUAGUCCUAGCCGUAAACGAUGGAUACUAGAUGUUGUGCAUUAUGUACAGUAUCGUAGCUAACGCGUUAAGUAUCCCGCCUGGGGAGUACGCUCGCAAGGGUGAAACUCAAAGGAAUUGACGG